GACAGAGGGUGCAAACGUUGUUCGGAAUUACUGGGCGUAAAGCGUGCGCAGGCGGUUUUGUAAGCCAGAUGUGAAAGCCCCGGGCUUAACCUGGGAAUGGCAUUUGGGACUGCAAGGCUUGAGUGCGGCAGAGGAGACUGGAAUUCCCGGUGUAGCAGUGAAAUGCGUAGAUAUCGGGAGGAACACCAGUGGCGAAGGCGGCUUUCUGGACGGUAACUGACGCUGAGACGCGAAAGCGUGGGGAGCAAACAGG
rnacentral:rRNA from 1 species